CACCGCGGUUAUACGAAAGACCCCAGUUAAUAGCCACGGCGUAAAGGGUGGUUAAGGAGUAUACUAAAUAAAGCUAAAGAUCUUCUAAGCCGUCAUACGCACUCCGAAGACACGAGACCCAAACACGAAAGUAGCUUUAGCCCCCCCGACUCCACAAAAGCUAAGAAA
rnacentral:rRNA from 1 species